CUUUCCGGCGGCAAACACCAAUGGGGAUGAGGUUUUCGAGGGGGUCACUUUGGGGCCAAGCGAGCUGCGUAACCCAGGCGUCCCCACCCCGCGGUCUUAUCUUGAGAUAUAUACUCAUGUGUAAAAAAUGAUAUAAAUCCAGCCCCUUUAAAUGAAAUUGGAGCUCCCAUCCCAGAGGAACUGCCUUGCAUAUCUUACUCCUCAAACCUUUGGAAUGUUAAAACUGGAUAAAAUAACCUUUGGACUGUACCUACAGCGGUUUUGUAUUCCAAACAACUGUUCGCAAAGAUAACAAAGCGGACAUAUUAUUUUCCUUCCCUUUCUCAUAAAUUUCUCUCUCCUUCACUUCCUCGUCAUCAGAACACUGAUUGGGUUUCUGCCUGAAUCAGUGCUUCCCAGAAUUGCAAUUUGAAUUGUUUGGGGUCAGUGCUACACUGGCGUCAUAAAGUGAAUGUAGGCAUUUUCUUCCUUGCUGUAAACUGUGGGAGCUUAACCGGCAGGAGAGAUCGCUGGUCCUAAUGGCAGGACACACUUCACCUGUGGAACUUUCUAGAAGAGCGUUUGAGCACAGGGCGGCCCUGGAGGGACCUGAGCAGAAAUAACAGAAGCUCUGUCCCUUUAACCUCCGUGAUGAUGGUCUUGACCGUUCGUUCAUUGUGGUGGACGUCAGUGACUACCAGAGCUGUUCCUGGCCCCAGACAGAA